rnacentral:rRNA from 1 species
UACGUAGGGUGCAAGCGUUGUCCGGAAUUAUUGGGCGUAAAGAGCUCGUAGGCGGUCUGUCGCGUCGGCUGUGAAAACCCGGAGCUCAACUCCGGGCCUGCAGUCGAUACGGGCAAACUGGAGUACUGCAGGGGAGACUGGAAUUCCUGGUGUAGCGGUGAAAUGCGCAGAAUAUCAGGGAGGGAACACCCGGGUGGGCGAAGGCGG